rnacentral:tRNA from 1 species
UGGGGAUUAGCUCAGUAGCACAGCACCUGCCUGGCAAGCAUGAGGUCUUGAGUUUGAAUCCAGAUAUCCAG